CCUACGGGUGGCAGCAGUGGGGAAUAUUGCACAAUGGGCGAAAGCCUGAUGCAGCAACGCCGCGUGAGCGAUGAAGGCCUUCGGGUCGUAAAGCUCUGUCCUCAAGGAAGAAAAUGACGGUACUUGAUGAGGAAGCCCCGGCUAACUACGUGCCAGCAGCCGCGGUAAUACGUGGGGGGCUAGCGUUAUCCGGAAUUACUGGGCGUAAAGGGUGCGUAGGUGGUUUCUUAAGUCCUAGGUGAAAGGCUACGGCUAAACCGUAGUAAGCCUUUGAAACUGGGAACUUUGAGUGCAGGAGAGGAGAGUGGAAUUCCUAGUGUAGCGGUGAAAUGCGUAGAUAUUAGGAGGAACACCAGGUGCGAAGGCGGCUAUCUGGCCUGUAACUGACACUGAGGCACGAAAGCGUGGGGAGCAAACAGGAUUAGAUACCCGUGUAGUC
rnacentral:rRNA from 1 species